rnacentral:rRNA from 1 species
UACGGGGGGGGGCAAGCGUUUGUUCGGAAUUACUGGGCGUAAAGGGCUCGUAGGUGGCCAACUAAGUCAGACGUGAAAUCCCUCGGCUUAACCGGGGAACUGCGUCUGAUACUGGAUGGCUUGAGUUCGGGAGAGGGAUGCGGAAUUCCAGGUGUAGCGGUGAAAUGCGUAGAUAUCUGGAGGAACACCGGUGGCGAAGGCGGCUAUCUGGACAGAAACUGACGCUGAGGCGCGAAAGCUAGGGGAGCGAACGGG